rnacentral:tRNA from 1 species
CGGGGUGUAGCGCAGUUGGCUAGCGCACCUGUUUUGGGAGCAGGGGGUCGCCAGUUCGAGUCUGGCCACCCCGA